AGUGAACGCUGGCGGUAGGCCUAACACAUGCAAGUCGAACGGCAGCACAGUAAGAGCUUGCUCUUACGGUUGGCGAGUGGCGGACGGGUGAGGAAUACAUCGGAAUCUACUUUUUCGUGGGGGAUAACGUAGGGAAACUUACGCUAAUACCGCAUACGACCUACGGGUGAAAGCAGUGGAUCUUCGGACCUUUCGCGAUUGAAUGAGCCGAUGUCGGAUUAGCUAGUUGGCGGGGUAAAGGCCCACCAAGGCGACGAUACGUAGCUGGUCUGAGAGGAUGAUCAGCCACACUGGAACUGGGACACGGUCCAGACUCCUACGGGAGGCAGCAGUGGGGAAUCUUGGACAAUGGGCGCAAGCCUGAUCCAGCCAUACCGCGUGGGUGAAGAAGGCCUUCGGGUUGUAAAGCCCUUUUGUUGGGAAAGAAAAGCAGCAGGUUAAUACCCCGCUGUUCUGACGGUACCCAAAGAAUAAGCACCGGCUAACUUCGUG
rnacentral:rRNA from 1 species